UAACUAGCAUAAAAGAGAGUUAUAUACUUAUUAUUUAUGGAGGAUGACAUGUGGCAAACUCGUAAAGAAAAGUGUUACGUGGCAGCACCAUGGGAAUAUCUGCAUGUUUUAUAUAUAGAUAGAUUAUAAACUAAUAUAAUAUAAAAAUAAAAUUUCCAAUUAAAUUCUUUUAGUUCAGAUAUGUAAUGUACCUAGAAUAUUGAUAAAAGAAAUAACAAUAUUAUAAUUAAAAUAAUAAAUAUUAUUAAAUAUUGGGAGUAUUUUAUAAUGACAUUUAUAUCAUAAAUUCAUAAUAUUAUUUUGGUAUUUUUGGUAUAAUUAAUGAUGAAUUUGGCGGAUAAUUGGAUGGAGGAAGUAAUUUGUAGGUUAAUUUAAAUGUCAAGAGCUAAAGAGAUGGGUUAAAAAAUAUAGGGGCUAAUCUGUAGGUUUUAUUAAAUUUCAGAGACUAAAUUAUAAUUUACCCUAACUUUUUUGAUGGUGUCUAGGCAAUUCCUCUCUUUACUGAUAGAGCUAGAGUUCAGAGUACAUUUUUGUCACAAACUUAACCUUAGGACCUUACCUGACAAAUGUGCCAAGCCACGUGGUACUAAAUUGUAAUUUCCCCUUGUUUUUAUCAAUUACAUUGAUGCACCUUUAUUAAUGUGUUCAUAUUAUAAAGUGGGUCUUACUGAGUCAUUUCGUAAUAUUGCUAAAUUUUGCCUUAAGAUUGAAAUUUCUUUGAGGAAUUGGAUCCUUCUUUGGUUGGACUAUAAUUGAGCAAUACCUAAUGACUUGUUUGUGAGAGGUUAAAUAGAGAAAAAGAGAGGGUAAGUAAUGAACUUGAACCCCUCACUUCGAGAAGUGGUGAAAGGUAACCAAGUCUAUCAUGUUAGCACCCUUAAUCUUCUAAGCACCUAAAAGUAAAUGGCAGUUUAACAAUUCUUUCUUGUUUUACUAAUUUUAAGCCUAUUGUUUUUAUAGAGUGAGGGAUAUUAUAGUCAUACAGAGUUAGAGCUUUUUGCAUUUGAAUAUAGUAGAUUGACCUCUUUCAAGUUUUGGGGCAAAACAAAAAAAAAGAGAAUAUAAGUAAAAUGCUUUACAUUUGACUUAGAAUAAGUAAAAACAUAUUGAAAUUUUGUAAACUUCGUAGCCUUUCAUUGCUUGCUUAAACUUUAAGAAAAUCUAUACAUUUUUUUUUGUCAUUUUAGAUCGCUUAAAUGUUAUUUAAUUUUAGGAAAAAUUACUAUUUAGUUCUGCAUUUUGACGAAACUAACAAUUUAGUCCUACUAUUUUGAAAAAUAUACGAUUUAG
rnacentral:misc_RNA from 1 species